CAGUGGUUCUUAACCGUUUAGUCAUGAGGGACCAUUUUACCAAAUGUUUAUCUAGCCAGGGACCACCCGGUUGGUUUACCUAAACUAAGGGUUUUUUGAUAAAGAAAACAAGGACAACUUUAAAAUUAGCACAAUUUUUUUUAUUUGGCAAAAAUCUAAUAGUUACCGAUUUUAAUUAUUAUGUAAAUGUGAUUUUCGUGACUGCAUAGUCCAUACUCUUUACUAACUUCUGAGUUCUCACAUAUUAUUAGGAUGGCUUCGCGGACCACUUGGAAUGCCUCCAGGGACCACCAGUGGUUUGUGGGCCACCGGUUAAGAACCACUGGACUAAUGCGUUAAUUGUGACAAUAUU